GGGGCUGAUUCUGGAUUCGACGGGAUAAGCAAAGCCCAAGGUGCAUGCCGAGGGGCGGUUGCCUCGUAAAAAACCGUGAAAAAAUAGUUGCAAAAAUUAAUAAAAACAGACCCGCUGCUAACGGCUACAUGCCUGUAGCUGCUUUAGCCGCUUAAUCAGCUUAAAAAACUGAGGGUCUCCUUUCUCCCUAGCCUCCGCUCUUAGGACGGGGAUCCAGAAAGGUCAAAUAAAAAGAGAUCGCGUUAAGACCUUGCUUAGGGUUAAAUCGUUAAAUUCAAUUAAGCUCAUCUGUUAAUAGAGUGUCCCUCCUCUGCUUUCAGAUAAAAUUAAGGAUGGACUAAGCAUGUAGUGCCGACGGUGUAGUUAUUUCGGACGGGGGUUCAAAUCCCCCCAGCUCCACCA
rfam:Candidatus Hamiltonella defensa 5AT (Acyrthosiphon pisum), complete genome.